GCCUGGCGACCAAGGGCUCCUCUUAAAGUGCCUCCAAGAACAGUUUUACCCCGCCCCUUCCCAGAGCCCUUCAGUGACAGCCAGUCCAUUUCCUGUCACAUGUGGGAUCUGGUCCCAGCUGCUCUCCAACAUCCGUGCCAGCCAUGCCUGCCCUCACCCCCACCCACCCCUGCGUUCUCCAGCCACUGUUUCUUUAAUGUGCCAAGUUUACUUCUGCAUCGGGAACAGUAUACUGGCGCGCGCUCUCUCUCUCUCUCUCCCUCUCAUUAUUCAUAACUUUCUCUGAAGAAGCCAGAUUCCAUGCAGCCUGUCAAAUUGUUAUGUCUGAAUAUCUGUACUGUUUGUUUUGUGGUCUGUUCACUAUACGUGUCCCCACUGUGUGUAAACCUCUGUGGGCAGUCAUCUUACUCCUUGUUUAUCUCCAUGCGCCCAGUGUACAGGGGGCCACCUCAUACACAGUACUGUCCAAUAAACAUUUAUCAGUUGCAGAGACUGAACACACAGGCUGUUUAUGUGGUCAGCUCUGACCUGUCCUCUCAGACCUGUACCUGCACUAACAAGAUCAGUGCAACCUAUUUCCCAGGACUCAAGCUGGCCACGGAGCAUCCAUUCUGCCGGAAGUGGUGAGGGUGAUCACCAGCUAUGACCAGUGCUGUCUAAACUAUGGUGAAAUGUGGAUCCCUUCUCAGCGACUGACAGAUGGCUCUCCGUGUGUACAGGUUACUGAAUUCCACAGUAUGGCACUCAGCAGGACUCUGAGCUAAUCUCGGUCUUCCUGGCAAGAAGGAGAGGAGUCGAUGAGUGAUGCCUAGACUCAAUACAUGAUGCCUAAGCUGGGGGGAAAAUGCACUCGUUUGCUUUUCCUGAUCUUUGGGUCCAGGAUAUGGAAAUUUGAGAAAGUAAUCGGGGGAGGGGUAUGGUUGUCCACACCUUUUACUCACACUUGGAAGGCAGAAUUAGGUGAAUCUCUAUGAGUUGGAGGCCAAUCUGACCUACACAGUGGGUUCCAGGCCAGCCAAGGCUACAUACACAUCGAGAGUUCAUCUCAGGAAAAUUAAACGACAACUGUAGCCCUAAUUUUAACUACCUAAGAAGAUCCAGGAGUAUAAUGUAAAAACCAAGAUCAUUCGACUCUCAAGAAACUCAAGUAACAAAUUUCUGCUUAAGACCAAAACACCCCCCAAACCUCACUGCCUCUGAGUGACUUGGGUUCCUCUGAGGGAGGACUGAGACAGUCACUGAAGCAUUCUUGUGCACUCAUUAUCUGCUACUGUGCUAGUCUGUAAAUGGCUCUCUGCCUGUGCGUGUUGGGGGCUGGGAGGAAACCCAGGGCCUCAUGCUGCUCGGCAAUUCACUUUCUCAUGGAGCCGAAUCCUCAGCCCUUUAGAACGGCUUUUGUUUGGGACUUCCAAGUACACUGUGGUUAACUGGGCUUUAAAAAGCAACUGUGGUGUGCGCUCCAGCCGCAAGCAAGAGUCAGCCCAAAAAGUCCUCGAGGAAUUGCACACAGGCACUCCCUCUAGGUAGUAGACCAGCCAUGUUCUUCGUUUUUCUUCAUUCUGCUACUUCCUGUUCACCCCUGACCUCUCCUUGCUGUUAGCUUCUUUGCUCUGCGACCCUAGACGCUGUGGCCUAUACAAUCCAAGAGGAACCGUUUUUCUGA